rnacentral:rRNA from 1 species
CCUACGGGAGGCAGCAGUGGGGGAUAUUGCACAAUGGGCGGAACCCUGAUGCAGCGACGCCGCGUGGGUGAAGGAGUGCUUCGGCAUGUAAAGCCCUAUCGGUAAGGAAGAAAAUGACAGUACCUGACCAAGAAGCCCCGGCUAACUUCGUGCCAGCAGCCGCGGUAAUACGUAGGGGGCCAGCGUUAUCCGGAUUUACUGGGUGUAAAGGGAGCGUAGACGGUUAUGUAAGUCAGGAGUGAAAGUCUGGGGCCCAACCCCGGGACUGCAAUGGAAACUGUGUAACUGGAGUACAGGAGGGGCAGGCGGAAUUCGUGGUGUAGCGGUGAAAUGCGUAGAUAUCAGGAGGAACACCGGCGGCGAAGGCAGCCUGCUGGACUGAAACUGACGUUGAGGCUCGAAAGCGUGGGGAGCAAACAGGAUUAGAUACCCGAGUAGUC